rnacentral:rRNA from 1 species
CGUAGGUGACCUACCGUACAGUGGGGGAUAACCAGAAGAAAUUCUGGCUAAUACCGCAUACGCAGUACAAUUUUGAAAGUAGUACUGGAAAGGAUGCUUCGGCAUUCACUGAACGAUGGGCCUGCGUAGCAUUAGUUUGUUGGUGAGGUAACGGCUUACCAAGACUACGAUGCUUAGCUGGUCUGAGAGGAUGAUCAGCCACACUGGAACUGAGACACGGUCCAG